CCGGGCGGGGCGGGGAGGG
rnacentral:miRNA from 1 species